UACGGGGGGGGCAAGCGUUGUUCGGAAUUACUGGGCGUAAAGGGUGCGUAGGCGGGUCUUUAAGUCAGGGGUGAAAUCCUGGAGCUCAACUCCAGAACUGCCUUUGAUACUGAAGAUCUUGAGUUCGGGAGAGGUGAGUGGAACUGCGAGUGUAGAGGUGAAAUGCGUAGAUAUCCGAAGGAACAUCAGUGGCGAAAGCGACUUCCUGGACCAGAACUGACGAUCAGGCACGAAAGCGUGGGGAGCAAACAGG
rnacentral:rRNA from 1 species